rnacentral:rRNA from 1 species
GACGAACGCUGGCGGCGUGCUUAACACAUGCAAGUCGAACGGAAAGGCCCUGCUUUUGUGGGGUGCUCGAGUGGCGAACGGGUGUGUAACACGUGAGUAACCUGCCCUUGACUUUGGGAUAACUUCAGGAAACUGGGGCUAAUACCGGAUAGGAGCUCCUGCUGCAUGGUGGGGGUUGGAAAGUGUCGGCGGUUGUGGAUCGACUCGCGGCUUAUCAGCUUGUUGGUGGGGUAGUGGCUUACCAAGGGUUUGACGGGUAGCCGGCAUGAGAGGGUGAACGGCCACAAGGGGACUGAGAGACGGCCCAGACGCGUACGGGAGGCAGUAGGGGGGAAUAUUGCACAAUGGGCGGAAGCCUGAUGCAGCAACGCCGCGUGCGGGAUGACGGCCUACGGGUUGUAAACCGCUUUCGCCUGUGACGAAGCGGGAGUGACGGUAAUGGGUAAAGAAGCACCGGCUAACUACGUG